UUGCAGCCAAUUAAGCCAACCAAGUUCUUUUCCUCAUGGGGCCUGAUGUGAUGUGCAAGGCAAGGGAUGCAAACAGUGGCCUCUGCAGUAGUGUUUGCAGCCUACUGCUUGUAUGAGAUUGAUAUUCCCAUCUCUGAUCUCCUGC
rnacentral:snoRNA from 1 species